GCACCCUUAGCUCAGUCGGAUAGAGUCGCUGGCUUCGAACCAGUUGGUCGGGGGUUCGAGUCCCUCAGGGUGCACCA
rnacentral:tRNA from 1 species